AGCGUCCCACAGCAGCCCCUAGGGAAGAGGGCGCUGCCCACUCGUGACGUAAUCUUUUUACGCCGGAAGUGCCGCCAUGCGGGGGCGGCUUCUCCGCGCUUGGCGCGAGGGGCUGAAGGCGGCGGACAGCGGAGUGCGGCCUCGGCGGGAGCCGCCAUGGCGGGUGUUGUUCUUUGGCACCGACCGCUUCGCUGUUACUACUUUGCGUGCCUUGCAGGCCGCCAGGGAGCCCAGCAGGGGCUUGCUUGUGUCCAGGCUGGAGGUGGUGACACUGCCCUCCCGUCUGCCUGUAGAACUGCCUGUGAAGAGCUGUGCCCGUGAGCUCCAGCUGCCUGUGCACGAGUGGCCACAGACAGGGCCUGCGGGGCAGUUUGAUGUUGGUGUGGUGGCAUCGUUUGGGCGUCUCUUGAGCGAGGACCUUAUUCUGCAGUUCCCAUAUGGUGUGCUGAAUGUCCAUCCCAGCUGCCUCCCACGGUGGCGUGGUCCUGCACCAAUAGUCCACACAGUACUUCAUGGUGACAAAGUGACCGGGGUAACAGUUAUGGAAAUAAGACCAAAGAGAUUUGAUGUGGGUCCAAUUAUUAAGCAAGAAGAGUGUCCUGUUCCUCCUCAAUGUACAACAAAGGAGUUGGAAGUGAUAUUAGCAGAGAUGGGUGCAAACAUGCUGCUGUCAGUUUUGAAAAACUUGCCUGAAAGCUUAAAAAAUAAAAAAGAGCAACCAAAAGGAGGAGUAACAUUUGCUCCUAAAAUAUCUGUAGCUAAGAGCUGUAUAAAUUGGGAAGAGCAAACAGCUGCACAGAUAAUUCAGCUGCAUCGUGCCAUAGGAAGUAUGUUUCCUUUGCAGACGCUUUGGAAGGGCAGUACUGUUAAACUUCUGGAUUUUGUAGAAGUGGACAAUAUCCUUGGUUCUGCUGAUCAAGUAUUAAGUGACCAUGGAGCUGUUCCUGGCUCACUGCUCUACCAUAAAAUGUCCCAAACACUGAUAGCUCGUUGCAAGGAGGGCUGGGUUGGAUUCAAAACAGUAGUAUUAAAGAAGAAGCUUACAGCUGUUGACUUCUACAAUGGCUAUAUGCACUCUUGGUUCCAGCAGAACUCAAGAACGGUUCAUCAGGAAUGCAGGUUUCAAACGCUCAAACUUAACACAGCAAAGAAGACUCUGAAAGAGAAGGAAGUAUUGUUGCAGGAUAUAAAGCGAUAGAUGUUUUUUUCCACAUCUUAAAGUAUAUCUCAUAGUUCAGGCUGCAUUGGCAUUUAGUCCUGCACAGUCCUGAGUUUAAUAUCCAAGAUGCUUCAUGACAGACCUGAGAAGCUGUUCCAGAUGUUGCUAAAGGCUAUUGAAAGAUUCCCCAUACCCUUCAUGAGCUCUAGCUCUAGUAUGAAGAAGGACGUUGACCUCUCAUCUGGAUUCUGCUUUGGGUGAUCUGGCGGCUUCCCACCGGCCUUUGGUAUGCAGGGCUCUCCCUUGGU